AUACGGAGGGUGCAAGCGUUAUUCGGAAUCACUGGGCGUAAAGGACGCGUAGGCGGGUUGGCAAGUCAGAUGUGAAAUCCUACAGCUCAACUGUAGAACUGCAUUUGAAACUGCUAACCUAGAGUAUGGGAGGGGGAGAUGGAAUUAGUGGUGUAGGGGUAAAAUCCGUAGAUAUCACUAGGAAUACCGAAAGCGAAGGCGAUCUCCUGGAACAUAACUGACGCUAAGGCGUGAAAGCGUGGGGAGCAAACAGGAUUAGAAACCCGAGUAGUCC
rnacentral:rRNA from 1 species